GAAAGAAGGCUCCUGGCUAAGAAUUUAUUAGAGUCUGAGGAGAGCCAUAGUCUCUAUCACCCACCCUGUCUGAGCCUCAGUUCACUCACUUGUAUCCAGAAGCCUCAACAGAUAAUUGAAUAAUUAAGUGAAAUCAUCAGCUGUUCGCUGGAGGACACAGCCCUGCCAUCUCCACAGUCCUUCACCAGGCUUUCCCCAGCCCCCAGCUCCAGCCUCAGGAAGUGGAGCUGCUGAGAAUCUCUCCUCCAGCCUCGCCUCCUGCCGAGAGUGUCCUCUGCGUGAGCAUUUCCUGGCCUAAUUAAGCUGGGUAAUGAGUAGCUAAGAGGGAGGGGAUAAAAGCCCUAGGCGGCUU
rnacentral:lncRNA from 1 species